CACUAGCGUAUAUUAAAGUUGUUGCAGUUAAAAAGCUCGUAGUUGGAUUUCUGACAUGGUGCGCCUGGUCCGCCCCGUAAAGGUGUGUGAGUACCGGUGUGCGCCUGUCAUCCUUCCGCAGAGCGUGUCUACCCUUCACUGGGCCGGGCAUCGCGAUGUGGAUCGUUUACUUUGAAAAAAUUAGAGUGUUCAAAGCAGGCUUACGCUGUGAAUACAUUAGCAUGGAAUAAUAAGAUAGGGCUUUGGUUCUAUUUUGUUGGUUUCUAGGACUGAAGUAAUGAUUGAUAGGGAUAGUUGGGGGUGCUAGUAUUCAACGGCCAGAGGUGAAAUUCUUGGAUUCGUUGAAGACUAACUUAUGCGAAAGCAUUCACCAAGGAUGUCUUCUUUA
rnacentral:rRNA from 1 species